rnacentral:rRNA from 1 species
AGCAGCCGCCACGGGAAUACAGAGGGUGCGAGCGUUAAUCGGAUUUACUGGGCGUAAAGCGUGCGUAGGCGGCUUUUUAAGUCGGAUGUGAAAUCCCUGAGCUUAACUUAGGAAUUGCAUUCGAUACUGGGAAGCUAGAGUAUGGGAGAGGAUGGUAGAAUUCCAGGUGUAGCGGUGAAAUGCGUAGAGAUCUGGAGGAAUACCGAUGGCGAAGGCAGCCAUCUGGCCUAAUACUGACGCUGAGGUACGAAAGCAUGGGGAGCAAACAGGAUUAGAUACCCCAGUAGUCCCUGUCUCUUAUAC